UGCAAAAGAGUUCGUUCAGAGUUUGAAUCAAAAUGCCUUUUGCGCAGAAGAGCAUCUCGUGCCCUGAGAGCCUGGACCCAUAACUCAUUGCCUUUAAAGUCCUUCAACUUAGACAAUGAUGAUCUUACCCCAUUUGAAGGAUCAUCAGGACAUUUUGCAAUUUGAGUUACCCAGUUCAGCAUUGUUGGUAGUGAUUCUCGUUUUCUCUUCCGUGAAUAAAAAAAGUUGUUCCCAAUUGCAGGAUCCAAUAUCACAACACCAUCAUCAUCAUUGUUAGAAUGAAUUUCCUUAUAAUCAGGGACAUUUCCAUCAUCAGUAUGCUUAUUUCCAACGCCAUUGCAUACUUUAAGUACAUCUUUGGUAUCCAAAAGACCUUUUUUACACUUCAAGACAUCCACAUGAAUGUUUUUGCCAUUUUUCUUAUGUUUAACAUUCUUCCCAUUUGGAUAUCCUUGGGACAACAAACUUCUAAACUCUGUCUCUAAUUCCAUUGAUAUACAGCUGAAAUUCCCAUCAGAGUGACACUGCCCAUUUCCCAAUCUCCCAUCUCUAAAGCUUCCCCUCAACCAUCUUUCCAACUCAUACAAGUACUUAAAAUAUACUAAUUUAACUGAAGUUGAAACUCCAAUAUCCAACCCUAGCUCUUUUACCACAAAGGUCCAGAAACCAUUUACCAAAUCAAAGCCUCCUCUCUUUCUCACCACCCGGAAAAGUUUACAUAAAUCCAGUGAUUGCCCAUCACCAAGCAAUGCUGG
rnacentral:misc_RNA from 1 species